GGAAAGAUGUCCGAGUGGCCGAUGGUGUAGCAUUGGAAAUGCUAUGUAAAUUUAAAUUUAUCGAGGGUUCGAAUCCCUCUCUUUCCC
rnacentral:tRNA from 1 species